AUGGUUACAGAAAGUUGAAAUUCAAUCCUGAUGAUCACCAAGAAGCAGCUGAUAGUACAUUGCCGCAGUCUCAGCCAUUGACAAGGGUGUGUAUUUUUUUCUGCAAUAUCCGGCAUGGAUGAUGAUAUUAUUUUAUUCCGUCAUAGUGGGUGACAGUCUCAGCCAUUGACAAGGGUGUGUAUUUUUUUCUGCAAUAUCCGGCAUGGAUGACUCCCUCUGUCCUAUUUCAUGUGACUUAAUUUGUCCCUCUUUUUCAAGAUUUAACAAUUUAUGCUCAUAUUAACACUAGUGGAUUCAAAUUUGAAAAUGAAACUUGAACAAUUAAAAACUAGAUUAAGAAUUGUAUCCAUAAUAAGGAAUAUAGUAAAACUAUUGAAUAUAGAAUUUCUAAUGAAUCAUGAUCAAAAUCAUAUAGU
rnacentral:lncRNA from 1 species